rnacentral:rRNA from 1 species
UCUACGGGAGGCAGCAGUGGGGAAUUUUGGACAAUGGGGGCAACCCUGAUCCAGCCAUUCCGCGUGAGUGAAGAAGGCCUUCGGGUUGUAAAGCUCUUUCAGCUGGAGCGAAACGGUACGCUCUAACAUAGCGUGCUAAUGACGGUACCAGCAGAAGAAGCACCGGCUAACUACGUGCCAGCAGCCGCGGUAAUACGUAGGGUGCGAGCGUUAAUCAGAAUUACUGGGCGUAAAGCGUGCGCAGGCGGAUUGUUAAGCAAGACGUGAAAUCCCCGGGCUUAACCUGGGAAUGGCGUUUUGAACUGGCAGUCUAGAGUGCGUCAGAGGGGGGUGGAAUUCCACGUGUAGCAGUGAAAUGCGUAGAGAUGUGGAGGAACACCGAUGGCGAAGGCAGCCCCCUGGGAUGACACUGACGCUCAUGUACGAAAGCGUGGGUAGCAAACAGGAUUAGAUACCCUGGUAGUCCACGCCCUAAACGAUGUCAACUGGUUGUUGGGGGAGUGAAAUCCCUUAGUAACGAAGCUAACGCGUGAAGUUGACCGCCUGGGGAGUACGGUCGCAAGAUUAAAACUCAAAGGAAUUGACGGA